rfam:Phlebiopsis gigantea 11061_1 CR5-6 unplaced genomic scaffold PHLGIscaffold_29, whole genome shotgun sequence.
UGCCCCAUGGCUAAGUUGGUCAAAGCGUCCGACUGUUAAAGUGGCGCAAGCUGCUUACGUAAUCGGAAGGUCGUGAGUUCAAUCCUCACUGGGGCAG